UGGAAAACUAUUAAUAGUUUACAAAUUACAGUUUAUAAUCAAAAGCAAAUAAUUCUAGCCGAAUAUAAAUUCCAUCGUCCAUAUUCUUAAUUUGAAUUACAAAGGUAGAUUAUACACCUGCCUAUCAUUUGACUAUUAAACAUGCAAAUACAAAUUAAAUACUUGACUACUUGAGUAUUUCUUUUCACUACAACAGCCGCAUCACAAUGAUUCGAAAGUGUACCUGAUAGUAGAAACAGAAGAAGAAGGUGAAGAUCAGUAGACCAGUAGCUAACAACAGCGACAAUCAGCACCAAGCAGUACAACAACAACCAGUAAACCCAGCUCAAACGAAACUGAAAACCCAACAGUACCAAAAUGAAACACAGACAGAUGCAAGGAAACAAUAGUUUCUGAUUUUCAAAUACUUAAGAAAAGCAGCCUGACAACUCUUAGUGCAAAAGUUCAAACUCAACACUAACUCUUAAUGUAAAAGUUCUGAUUUUUUUUUGAAUUUGUUUCCUCUCCUUUUCCAGUAUUUUUCCCCCUUCUCUUUCAGUCUCCCUCCCUCUUUAUACAAUUUGCCCGACCCUUCUUCUUUUCAAAAACCAGAAUUUCCCACUAAAAAUCUGCUCUUUUUACUUUAAAUCCCAUUAAGGAAACCUUUUCCCUAAUUUUCAGCCCCCACUCCUUUUGUUCCCCAUUAUCACAUUAAAUUAAAGACAUUAACACUCCACUAAUAACACACUAAUACUAACAUAUUAUUCCUAUUGUUUCAUUCCCAAAUUGCCCCUGAAAACCACUGUGAUUUACUGUCCUAGCCCAAUACAACUACUGUAUCAAAAUCUGUUUAACUAGUCAAUUAACCAAAACUGACUUGAUUAACAGCUAAAACCAAUUCAGCCAGCAUUUUACGGCAGAAACUACAUCAAAUACGAAGGUUCCAGUGAUUCAGAAUAAUGCUCAUACUCAAAACAGCAUCUGAACUAACCGGAUGACUAAUAAUUUGAAAAUUAUAAACAACAGAAUGUCAAUUGAUUCAAACUAUACGAAUGACCUACUCAAUGAAACUUAAUUGAACGAUUACGUAUUACAACUGACAUUGAUCAAAUCAGCAAACAAAGAAAGAGACAAUUCGGGUAAUUUCAGUGUUAUUGACAGAAUUAAAAUGGAAACUAACUAAUCGACGCAACUUAUUAAUCGAUCACACACAUAAUAAUUACAGUAAUCAUAAACAAAUGACAAAUUUGGACCAAAUAAAAGGUCUAUUGAGAUGAGCAGAAUUAAUUGAUAAAAAUGGAAAAUUAAUAAAACUAAACUAAACAGAUACAUAGAUAGAAAAACAUGAAUACAAAAAUGAAUAAAAUACCUCAGAAACUCAGAAAUAUACGGACCCAGGCUCGAACUUGAAUUUGGACAUUUUUGAGGUCGAACAAACUUUAAUCGAAGUAUUAUCAACUGAGAAUACCUCGAUUAAGGUCUAUUAGACCCCAAAUCUUCAUUUAAUUGGACUGAUUCCAUGAUUUAGAUUUUUAGGGUUCUUGAGGGUCUGAUUUGGGGUUCGAACACUUUCGGCUUGAUUCGAACCAAACCUUCGUUGGUGUAGGCCUAAGGGGGGGGGGGGGGGAGGGGGGUUUGGGGGGUGGGGUAAGGAUUUGGGGCUUAUAUAGUGAGGGGUUGUUUUGAUCUUAACCGUUAAAUCUAUUACGAUCAAUGGUCAGGAUGAAAGGGGUUAAACUUAUACGGUGUCGUUUGGUUUAAACAGGGGUAUGGGUUGGCCCGGGGAGGGCAAAUUGGAUCGGGUUAUGGGGAGGCCUUGAAGCCAUUGGAUCAACAACGAUGAAUGGUCCUGAUCAAAUACAGCCAUACGACGUCGUUUGGUUUAACAAGAGAAUUGAACUGGAUCGUUAGAUCAUCUUGAUCGACGGUCCAGAUGGAAAGUUCCAAUACGACAUCGUUUAGGAUUGGCUGCAGGUGGACUGGAUUUGGCUGGGUAUAGAGAAAGUUUUGGGCCUCAUUUUUGGUUUAAAGUUUUUUGGCCCAGAUCUGAUUGGCCCUAUGUUUUUAAUUCUUUUCAUUUUCUUCUUUUAAUUAACACUUUAACAAAAAUUCUAAAAAUAAAAUAAUAAAUGUAAAACCAAAAUCAAACUACAAAAUAUUAACUCUUAUCAACAAUU
rnacentral:lncRNA from 1 species